rnacentral:rRNA from 2 species
UGAAGAAGCUUGCUUCUGAUUGAUAACAUUUGAGUGAGUGGCGGACGGGUGAGUAACACGUGGGUAACCUGCCCUAAAGUGGGGGAUAACAUUUGGAAACAGAUGCUAAUACCGCAUAAAACCUAGCACCGCAUGGUGCAAGGUUGAAAGAUGGUUUCGGCUAUCACUUUAGGAUGGACCCGCGGUGCAUUAGUUAGUUGGUGAGGUAAAGGCUCACCAAGACCGUGAUGCAUAGCCGACCUGAGAGGGUAAUCGGCCACACUGGGACUGAGACACGGCCCAGACUCCUACGGGAGGCAGCAGUAGGGAAUCUUCCACAAUGGACGAAAGUCUGAUGGAGCAACGCCGCGUGAGUGAAGAAGGUUUUCGGAUCGUAAAACUCUGUUGUUGGAGAAGAACGUAUUUGAUAGUAACUGAUCAGGUAGUGACGGUAUCCAACCAGAAAGCCACGGCUAACUACGUGCCAGCAGCCGCGGUAAUACGUAGGUGGCAAGCGUUGUCCGGAUUUAUUGGGCGUAAAGCGAGCGCAGGCGGUUUCUUAAGUCUGAUGUGAAAGCCUUCGGCUCAACCGAAGAAGUGCAUCGGAAACUGGGAAACUUGAGUGCAGAAGAGGACAGUGGAACUCCAUGUGUAGCGGUGAAAUGCGUAGAUAUAUGGAAGAACACCAGUGGCGAAGGCGGCUGUCUGGUCUGUAACUGACGCUGAGGCUCGAAAGCAUGGGUAGCAAACAGGAUUAGAUACCCUGGUAGUCCAUGCCGUAAACGAUGAGUGCUAGGGGUUUUGGAAGGGUUUCCGCCCCUUCAGUGCCGCAGCUAACGCAUUAAGCACUCCGCCCGGGGGAGUACGACCGCAAAGGUUGAAACUCAAAGGGAAUUGACGGGGGCCCGCACAAGCGGUGGAGCAAGGGGGUUUAAUUCGAAGCAACGCGAAGAACCUUACCAGGUCUUGACAUCCUUUGACCCCUCUAGAAGAUAGAGCUUUCCCUUCGGGGACAAAGUGACAGGUGGUGGCAUGGGUUGUCCUCACCUCCUGUCCUGAAAAGUUUGGGGU